rnacentral:rRNA from 1 species
AUUGAACGCUGGCGGCAGGCCUAACACAUGCAAGUCGAACGAGUGGCGGACGGGUGAGUAAUGUCUGGGAAACUGCCUGAUGGAGGGGGAUAACUACUGGAAACGGUAGCUAAUACCGCAUACCAUCAGAUGUGCCCAGAUGGGAUUAGCUAGUAGGUGAGGGAACGGCUCACCUAGGCGACGAUCCCUAGCUGGUCUGAGAGGAUGACCAGCCACGCUGGAACUGGGAAAGGUUACAGACUCCUACGGGAGGCAGCAGUGGGGAAUAUUGCACAAAGGGAGCAAGCCUGAUGCAGCCAUGCCGCGUGUAUGAAGAAGGCCUUCGGGUUGUAAAGUACUUUCAGCGGGGAGGCGUUACCAGCAGAAGAAGCAACGACUAACUCCGUGCCAGCAGCCGCGGUAAGC